CAGUCGCCGCGGUAAAACGAAGGGGGCUAGCGUUGCUCGGAAUUACUGGGCGUAAGGGAGCGUAGGCGGAUCGUUUAGUCAGGGGUGAAAUCCCGGGGCUCAACCUCGGAACUGCCUUUGAUACUGGCGAUCUUGAGUAUGGGAGAGGUGUGUGGAACUCCGAGUGUAGAGGUGAAAUUCGUAGAUAUUCGGAAGAACACCAGUGGCGAAGGCGACACACUGGCCCAUUACUGACGCUGAGGCCCGAAAGCGUGGGGAGCAAACAGGAUUAGAUACCCCCGUAGUCCCUGUCUCUUAUACA
rnacentral:rRNA from 1 species